AGGCACGUAGCUCAGGGGGAGAGCAUCACCUUGACGCGGUGGGGGUCCAGGGUUCAAAUCCCUGCGUGCCUACCA
rnacentral:tRNA from 2 species